UCCCUUGGAACAGGGUAUCAAAGAGGGUGACAAUCCCGUACUUGACACGACGACCGGUGCUCUGUGAUACGUCUUCUACGAGUCGAGUUGUUUGGGAAUGCAGCUCAAAAUGGGUGGUGAGUUCCAUCUAAGGCUAAAUAUUGGCGAGAGACCGAUAGCGAACAAGUACCGUGAGGGAAAGAUGAAAAGCACUUUGGAAAGAGAGUUAAACAGUACGUGAAAUUGUUGAAAGGGAAACGAUUGAAGUCAGUCGUGUCCAAGGGGUUCAGCCGGUUCUGCCGGUGUAUUCCUCUUGGACGGGUCAACAUCAGUUUCGCCCGGUGGAAAAGGGCAGCGGGAAGGUAGCACCUCCGGGUGUGUUAUAGACCGCUGUAGACCGCAUACACCGGGCUUUGAGACUGAGGAAUGCAGCUCGCCGAAAAAAAUUGUGUAUAGAAAUAGGCCGGGGGUUCGCCCACGUACGAGCGUAGGAUGUUGACAUAAUGGCUUUAAACGACCCGUCU
rnacentral:rRNA from 1 species